GAUGAACGCUGGCGGCGUGCCUAAUACAUGCAAGUCGAGCGAACAGACGAGGAGCUUGCUCCUCUGACGUUAGCGGCGGACGGGUGAGUAACACGUGGAUAACCUACCUAUAAGACUGGGAUAACUUCGGGAAACCGGAGCUAAUACCGGAUAAUAUAUUGAACCGCAUGGUUCAAUAGUGAAAGACGGUUUUGCUGUCACUUAUAGAUGGAUCCGCGCCGCAUUAGCUAGUUGGUAAGGUAACGGCUUACCAAGGCGACGAUGCGUAGCCGACCUGAGAGGGUGAUCGGCCACACUGGAACUGAGACACGGUCCAGACUCCUACGGGAGGCAGCAGUAGGGAAUCUUCCGCAAUGGGCGAAAGCCUGACGGAGCAACGCCGCGUGAGUGAUGAAGGUCUUCGGAUCGUAAAACUCUGUUAUUAGGGAAGAACAAAUGUGUAAGUAACGAUGCACGUCUUGACGGUACCGAAGCAGAAAGCCACGGCUAACUACGU
rnacentral:rRNA from 1 species